rnacentral:rRNA from 1 species
GAUGAACGCUGGCGGCGUGCCUAAUACAUGCAAGUCGAGCGAACGGACGAGAAGCUUGCUUCUCUGAUGUUAGCGGCGGACGGGUGAGUAACACGUGGAUAACCUACCUAUAAGACUGGGAUAACUUCGGGAAACCGGAUCUAAUACCGGAUGAUAUUUUGAACCGCAUGGUUCAAAAGUGAAAGACGGUCUUGCUGUCACUUAUAGAUGGAUCCGCGCUGCAUUAGCUAGUUGGUAAGGUAACGGCUUACCAAGGCAACGAUGCAUAGCCGACCUGAGAGGGUGAUCGGCCACACUGGAACUGAGACACGGUCCAGACUCCUACGGGAGGCAGCAGUAGGGAAUCUUCCGCAAUGGGCGAAAGCCUGACGGAGCAACGCCGCGUGAGUGAUGAAGGUCUUCGGAUCGUAAAACUCUGUUAUUAGGGAAGAACAUAUGUGUAAGUAACUGUGCACAUCUUGACGGUACCUAAUCAGAAAGCCACGGCUAGCUACGUG